CGCUACGCCCCGGCGGCCACCGCCGCUGCCACCGCCGCGCCCCGGACACUUCCACUCCGGAUUGUUGUCCUUUUAGGUUUUAACGGGGCCCCCGCCGGUGACGUCGCCGGCCCGGGCACUUCGACACGUGCCUCGGGCCAAUGAUAAUGCGGGCAUGCGCACACGUGGUGCGGGGAGCUCCGUGGGUCGGGUCCACCAGCGAAGCCCAGCGCUCGCUGAUCCAAAGUUGUUUUGCUCAAACAAGCACCUAGAGGUUAAUUUCUUCAAGCGCCCCAUGAAAAGCGAUUAGCCUGUCUCCCAAGAAGUAUUUUCUAAUUACUUGGAAGCUCUCGCUUUGCUACUACCCCAUAAUUAAACGUGUUCAAGGUGCUGCACUUCAAAUAUUUCGCUCCCGGGCGGACCCAAGUUGCCGAUAAAAACUUCAAACCUCCUGGAACCCCGCGUUACCUGCCCGUUCUGCCGGGCAGGAGCUCGCUGCCGGUACCGCGGUAUCCUUCCCAUUCGUUAUCCCGGCUCCUUGGCGGGGAUAUUUAUACCCUGCAUAGGACCAGGGAGGAGAAUUCCUGAGAUAAACUCCAAAGCAGGAGAUAAACAAAGCUGUACAAAACAAUUACUGCAUCUGCCUGUCCUCUGACAAUAAUCCAGUACCUCAGGUUAUUUUUAUCUGGGAGCUCAAUCUCUGUAGAAACAUUCCCCAGCAGCACGUUUUCUCGCCGGUCUGCGGGCGCCCCGCCAGCGGCACCGCGGCGUGCGGGGGCUUUUCCACGGGAACCACUGCGGGUCACCGGGAGAGGUGGCUUGGAAACGGGCUUUUGGCUUCGUUGUCUUCUCUGCUUCAGCCUCCCCUCGCAGCCCUAGUGCUUGCGAAAGUUGCUUCCCCGCACCCCGGCCAGAUUUCUUUCCCCUGCGCUCCCCGCGUAGUUUCAACGAAGCUCAUUCCG